rnacentral:lncRNA from 1 species
AUGCUGCUCCUGGCUGGGCUCCCUGGAAGGACACUGAACCUAAUCCAACACUCUGUCUUGUCCAGGAACACUGAUGGACCCCACUCUGGUAAUGUUGUUUGGAUGUUGGGAGCCUGCUCUAGUUGGAGCUGCCCUAACAGCCUUGUUUCCCACUGGUCCCAUUGGAGCCUAAUCCCAGCUCUGCUGCUGCUCUGUGGUCAGUCAGGACCCAGUUCUCCGGAUGGCUGUGUGUGGCACCAUGAGCAGCAGUGGAGGGAAUCCAUGUCUGUGUGCAGUCCCUGCCUACGUGUCCUCUCCUGUGCUCACCCAGGGUCAGCUGGCGAUGGCAGAGCAGUGCGUGGUGAAGGGGAGAUCUGGCAGAUCUCUUCCUCAGUCAGAAAUAUUUUUUUUCCUACUGUCCUUUGGUCAACCCUGAUGCCAGCUCCAAAGAAAAUCAACUGUGAGAUUCAAAAGAGUGAAAUCAAGUGA